CCUUUCAGUACUUCUUAAAGAGCUGGUCUAAUGUUGGUAAGAAAAGUGCAACGUGAACCCAGCCACAGUGGUACAAGCUGCUAAGCCACUGUGCUCCCCAGGGAGCCAGGGUUCGAUUCCCCGUCUUACAUAAGACGAGGCGUGAUGGUGUGCACCUGUAAUUCCAGCAACUCGGAAUGCUGAGGCUGACCUGGCAGCAAGACAGUAAAACCAAGAUGCAGAGAGGUUAAGUAACUUGUUCAGAGCUAGUGGCUGGUGGAGCUUGGGUCUGAAUCUGAGAAGACUGCCAUCAAAGCUCCUUUUCUGUAGCGGACACUGCUCACUGUCCCCCAUCCACUCUCUCCUUCCUCAGUAUUCUGGAAUAACCCAGUUUACUCCACAAUAUUGCCUCUUAGAGUAAAAGGUUCCCCUACCUCCUAGACAGCUAGAUGUACCUGUACGAAUGAGCCCAGCCUCUGCCAUCAAAGUAGAAGUGUGAUGCGGAGACUCGGGAAGUUCUCUUAGCAUGGGAAGGUAUGUUUCUUCUUCUCCUCCUUGACUGGAACUUAGUGUGAUGGCCGGAAUUCAAGGAACUAUUUUGGACAAUGAGGUGACAACACUGGGAAUGUCAGACUAGAGAGAGGACGAGUCGAGGUCACUGACGAUAUUAUGGAUCUGCCUUUCAGCCCCGAUCAAUCUACCUGCCAUGACUCCGGAUGGAAAUUCACUUUCACCUUAUUUAGACCACUACCGCCUGCUCUCUCUCAUAAGCUGAUGAAUUUUUCCUACCUAAUAAACUUUCUAAUCCAA